AGGUUCUGCCCCGCAAAAACGGGCGGCCAAGAGGGAAUCACGUGCAAAUCGUGAGCUGUCGCGCAACUGUAAAUCACAAUAAAAUUCCUACGGCGAUAUGCCAUUGGACAGAAACAAUGUCUGAGAAGGUACCGAAUGGGUAGUGAAAGCCAGGAUACCUGCCUUUUUGUU
rnacentral:ncRNA from 1 species